rfam:Rhizoctonia solani isolate BBA 69670 genome assembly, contig: RSOLAG22IIIB_scaffold01233
UAGUACCCAAUGAUGAAGCAUUUCGGAUGUAAAAUAAACUCUGUCCGAGAGCGCAAAAACCCAUGUGGAUAUUUCCGUUGCCUUCCUUCUGAGUCUUUUC